GAGGGCAUAGCUCAGGGGUAGAGUGUGUUUCAUAUGCACAAGGUCCUGGGUUCAAUCCCCAGUAUUUCCG
rnacentral:tRNA from 1 species